rnacentral:lncRNA from 1 species
ACAAAAAAGAGGGAAAAAAGAGGUCAAAAAGGCCAAAAAUUGGAGGCCAGAAGCAAGAAGGAGGUCAAAAGGCUGAAAAGUGGAGGCCAUAAAGAAAAAAGAGGCCAAAAACUAGAGGCCAAAAUAAAAGAGGCGAAGAAGAGGCCAAAAGGGCCAAAAAUUGGAGGCCAAAGACGGACAAAGAGGCCAAAAACUUAAAGGCCAAAACCAAAAAGACUGAAAAGACCAAAAAUUGGAGGCCAAAGACAAAAAAGAGGCCAAAAAGUAGAGACCAAAACAAAAAAAGAGGCCCAAAAGACCCAAAAUUAGAGGCCAAAAACAAAAAAAAAGGCCAAAAGGAGGUCAGAAAGUUCGAAAAUUGGAGGCCAAAAGCAAAAAGAGGUCAAAACCACAAAAAAUCAGAAGCCGUAAAGAAAAAAGAAGCCAAAAACUAGAGGCCAAAUCCAAAAAAAGAGGCCAAAAAGACCAAAAAGAGGCCGAAAAGGCCAAAAAGAGGCCAAAGAGGCCAAAAAAGAGGCCGAAAAAGGUCAAAGAGGCCGAAAAAGGUAGAAAAGGUCAAAAAAGAGGGCGAAAAGGCAAAAAAAAAGAGGCCAGAAAGGCGAAAAUGGAGGCCGGAAGCAGGCGAGGGAGGCCAGGGAAGCGAAGAAUAGGGCAAAUUGCCCAAAAAAGGCCGAAACCCCCCCAAAAACCCUGCCCCGUUUUUCCUCCCCAGCGCAGAGCGGGACCCGGUUGCUCCUCGGCUGUUUUGCGCCUCCGGAAGUCGGUGAUUUUUCCUCCUUUUCACUCCUUUUUCACAAUUCCUCUCGUUUUUUUUUAAUUUUCACAUUCAAAUUUUGGUUUUUUGUUUUUAAAUUUUGAUUUUUUGUUUUUAAAUUUUGAUUUUUUAUUUUUAAAUUUUGAUUUUUUAUUUUCAAAUUUCGAUUUUUUUCCCCAAAUU